rnacentral:rRNA from 1 species
UACGUAGGGCGCGAGCGUUGUCCGGAUUUACUGGGCGUAAAGAGCGCGCAGGCGGUCGUUCAAGUCGCGUGUGAAAGCCCCCGGCUCAACUGGGGAGGGUCACGCGAUACUGAUCGACUCGAAGGCAGGAGAGGGAAGUGGAAUUCCCGGUGUAGUGGUGAAAUGCGUAGAGAUCGGGAGGAACACCAGAGGCGAAGGCGGCGACCUGGACAGUGACUGACACUCAACUACGAAAGCGUGGGGAGCAAACAGG